rnacentral:tRNA from 7 species
AGAGGUUUAGGCUAAACCAGACCGAGAGCCUUCAAAGCUCUAAGCAAGUACGAUAUACUUAACCUCU